rnacentral:rRNA from 1 species
CCUACGGGAGGCAGCAGUGGGGGAUAUUGCACAAUGGGCGCAAGCCUGAUGCAGCCAUGCCGCGUGUGUGAAGAAGGCCUUCGGGUUGUAAAGCACUUUCAGCGGGGAGGAAGGCGGUGAGGUUAAUAAUCUCAUCGAUUGACGUUACCCGCAGAAGAAGCACCGGCUAACUCCGUGCCAGCAGCCGCGGUAAUACGGAGGGUGCAAGCGUUAAUCGGAAUUGCUGGGCGUAAAGCGCACGCAGGCGGUCUGUCAAGUCGGAUGUGAAAUCCCCGGGCUCAAUCUGGGAACUGCAUUCGAAACUGGCAGGCUAGAGUCUUGUAGAGGGGGGUAGAAUUCCAGGUGUAGCGGUGAAAUGCGUAGAGAUCUGGAGGAAUACCGGUGGCGAAGGCGGCCCCCUGGACAAAGACUGACGCUCAGGUGCGAAAGCGUGGGGAGCAAACAGGAUUAGAUACCCCUGUAGUC